UGUGCUCAGGGUUUACACAGGCCCC
rnacentral:piRNA from 1 species